AAAGCCGCGGAAAAAAGGCGGAUUGGCCGGAUCGAGGAUGCAGCGGAUAGCAAGCAGAGGCUCCUCUGGGUGUGGAGCCUGAAAAAGCUGGAGGUGCAGAGAUUCAGACUGGACGUGAGGAGGAAGUUCUUCAGCAUGAGAGUGCUCCCAGACUAAACUGCAAGAAGGGAAUCUGGAGAGCUCUGUUUUGGUGUCUGGCAGAGAUCUGAACACUCAAGAAACCUUUUGAAUAAUGCAUUGCUUUCCUGGCUGGCUUGAAUAUCAGCUUCCCUACUCUCCAGCAGGCUGGAGAGGCUCUUCUUAAAUGUUGUACUGCAAAACCAAGUGUGAGAGGACACAAGAUCCUUGGCUGACAGGCAGAAGAUCCUUUCAGCUGCCUUGCUGGGGUAUCUCAACUAGGAGCAGCUGUUGAUCUG